rnacentral:rRNA from 1 species
UACGUAGGGGCCGAGCGUUGUCCGGAGUUAUUGGGCGUAAAGCGCGCGCAGGCGGCUUGAUAAGCCUGACGUGAAAGCCCCCGGCUCAACCGGGGAAGGUCGUCGGGGACUGUUGAGCUUGAGGACGGCAGGGGUUGGUGGAAUUCCCGGUGUAGUGGUGAAAUGCGUAGAGAUCGGGAGGAACACCCGUGGCGAAGGCGGCCGACUGGGCCGGACCUGACGCUGAGGCGCGAAGGCGUGGGGAGCGAACGGG